rnacentral:rRNA from 1 species
UACAGAGGGUGCGAGCGUUGUCCGGAAUUACUGGGCGUAAAGCGCACGUAGGCGGACAUUUAAGUCAGGGGUGAAAUCCCAGAGCUCAACUCUGGAACUGCCUUCAAUACUGGCUGUCUUGAGUGUGAGAGAGGUGUGUGGAACUCCGAGUGUAGAGGUGAAAUUCGUAGAUAUUCGGAAGAACACCAGUGGCGAAGGCGACACACUGGCUCACUACUGACGCUGAGGCGCGAAAGCGUGGGGAGCAAACAGG